GAGUUUGAUUCUGGCUCAGAACGAACGCUGACGGCGCGUCUUAAGCAUGCAAGUCGAACGGUAAGAGAGGAGCUUGCUCUUCUCCUAGAGUGGCGGACUGGUGAGUAACGCGUAGGUGACCUACCCUGAAGAUGGGGAUAGCUAGUAGAAAUAUUAGAUAAUACCGAAUAAGCUCAUAGACGUAAACGGAUAUGAGGAAAGGAGCUACGGCUCCGCUUUAGGAUGGGCCUGCGUCCCAUUAGCUAAGUUGGUGAGGUAAAGGCUCACCAAGGCGACGAUGGGUAUCCGGCCUGAGAGGGUGAACGGACACAUUGGGACUGAGAUACGGCCCAAACUCCUACGGGAGGCAGCAGCUAAGAAUCUUCCGCAAUGGACGAAAGUCUGACGGAGCGACGCCGUGUGAAUGAAGAAGGCCGAAAGGUUGUAAAGUUCUUUUGCAGAUGAAGAAUAAGGGCAAGAGGGAAUGCUUGUCUGA
rnacentral:rRNA from 1 species